rnacentral:lncRNA from 1 species
GUCUUGUAUGAUUUUAAAUUUUAGUUUCUUGUGUAUAAUUUGGAGUUUAGUAUGACGUCCAUUAUCACUGUACUAUUAUGCAUAUUUUAGGGGCCAGCUGAAGGACACCUACGGGUGCGGGAAUUCUCGCUACAUUGAAGACCCAUUGGUUGCCUUCGGCUGUUGUUUGCUCUAUGGUCGGGUGGUUGUCGCUUUGACAUAUUCACCAUUUCCUUUCUCAAUUUUAUUUUAUUGU